UCAAAAAUUAAACCUUCACUGAAGCUCCCGCCACAUUCUCACAUUCACUUUCAUUCAUGGUACAUUCAACUCAGAUACACCCAUUAUCAGACCAUGAUAAGUUCUCACAUGAUAUUGUUCGUUAAAGUCCAUGUCUUAGAAUUCUAAGAUGUAUAUGAGGAACUUAAACUUUAACGAGCUUUAAUCACUAGGAAGGGAUUUAACAUAGAUUAAGUUAAGACCGUGGGAAUAAGCUUACAAUCAAAGAGCACAAGACAUGGACUUAGCUAAUAUCAUUUCAAAUGAGGAACAUCUCACUUAAUCAAACAAUAAAUUGUCACAUAAAUGCACAUUUUAGGUUAAAAGAAGCAAACAAACAGACUUGGACAACUGCAUUUCCUCAUCAAUUGUAUAACUUGAAACUUAAACGUUCAGGUCUAAUAGAAUUGACAACUCAAACACAUAGGAUUUACACCAAGCGGUUAAUGUUCACAAUCACUCUAGCUUUUGAAACAUGAAUUCCAACACCAAUUGUUUCUCGAUCAAAUAGGGCUAUCAGUUGGCAUAGGGAUACAGCGGAGCAAGGAACAGUAGAAAAUUUAGAGCAACAUGCACGUAGACUAGAUUAUCAUCAGGUAGAAAACAACACUUAUUUCCAGCACUCUUUCAGGCUCCAACUGAGAAGAGUAUACUGAAUGUUCAUAAAAGAUAACAACAAAGCACAUCGCUAGAAUGAGAUUCAGCUAACAUUUUCACAGCUAGCCAAGCUUCAGCCAAACACAACAAACUAAUGAAAGUAAACAACAAGAAUUCGAGAGUAAAGGCGUCGCAGAUUCGUGCUCUGCUAGUAGCCGCAUAUUUCAUCAAAAUGCAACUUAUCUCAUCGACAUUGCAUAAAUUUCAGCUUAAUCAAGACUAAACUUCUUAACCGUAUUUUAAACCAUCUAAACAAAGUAGUACAGGAGAUGAAAUGCACUUGAAUGUGCAAAACUUCAACUACUUGCAGGAGUAGAAUACAAUAAAAGUUCGGUAGUGAAAAUCCAAAACAAGCAACAACCAAGAAACAGGACUUAGCAGCCACGGAAGAAACGCGAUCGGCACCUCGAAUGCUCACACAAACUCCAUUACGAGCAAGAUUGAAUCCAAAAAUAAAAAAAAUGAAGAUCAGAUAUCCUUUCUAUUUUCUCUUUCUAUUUUUUCUGAUUUUUAAAUGAAAACAAAACUUAAACUAAGAACUAAAUUCAAACUCUCUUUGAUUUUAUUUUUUUGGAUUUUAACAAAAUGGAGAGGAUGAGAAUCAAAAACGAAAAAAUCACUUCAAGAAAUCUAUAACCUUUUCCUCCAAACACAAAUCCAAAACUAGAAAUGGAGCUCCAUAUUUUUGAAGUUUUUUGAUUUUUUGGAAGUAAAAUCUUGAACCAAAAAACAACUGAGACUUUCAAUAUCUUUCUCUGAAAUCAACAAGACCACAUAAAAAACUCAAAAAAAAAAAAGAAAACUAAAAAUAAAACCCUAAUUUUCUAUCGAAAAUCUCUCCAAAAAUUCUGUCCCUAGAACCCCUCACCCUAUAUAACCUCUCUAAUUCUCGAACCUUCUGUCCACAAUUCGAAAAUCCUUUCAAUAUUUUGUGAACAAUUUAGGGACAAAUGGAGGGAAUUAAUUAAUUUCAAUCCAUCCACGGCUCCCAUUCGUCCAACAAAUCGCUCAAGAAUUAAAUAACACGUGAAAAAUCCAGAAGGAAUCUUCUUGUUUGUCAGAAUCCGUUAGGCUUGGGGAGACGUGGAGGAUGAGAUGAAGGGGACCAUGUGGGUGGGAUUGAGGUGGAGCUUGCGUGGCUAGAACGUGUGAAUGGCAGCGCUAGGGUUGAAGACUUGAAGGUGAGAAGGCGCCGUUUGGGUUUGGUUGGC
rnacentral:lncRNA from 1 species